rnacentral:siRNA from 1 species
UACAGAUGUAUCUGCACAGUGGU